UCCCUGAUAUCUCAGUUGGUAAAGGAUCUGCCUGCAAUGCAGGAGAUCCUGGUUAGAUGCCUGGGUCGGGAAG
rfam:Ovis aries breed Texel chromosome 1, whole genome shotgun sequence.